rnacentral:rRNA from 1 species
GACAGAGGGUGCAAACGUUGCUCGGAAUUACUGGGCGUAAAGCGCGUGUAGGCGGACACGAAAGUCGGGUGUGAAAUCCCUGGGCUCAACCUAGGAACUGCAUCCGAAACUCCGUGUCUAGAGUGUCGGAGAGGGACGUGGAAUUCCUGGUGUAGAGGUGAAAUUCGUAGAUAUCAGGAGGAACACCGGUGGCGAAGGCGACGUCCUGGACGAUUACUGACGCUGAGACGCGAAAGCGUGGGGAGCAAACAGG